rnacentral:rRNA from 1 species
UGGAUUGGUGCCUUCGGGAACUGUGAGACAGGUGCUGCAUGGCUGUCGUCAGCUCGUGUUGUGAAAUGUUGGGUUAAGUCCCGCAACGAGCGCAACCCUUAUCCUUUGUUGCCAGCGGUUAGGCCGGGAACUCAAAGGAGACUGCCAGUGAUAAACUGGAGGAAGGUGGGGAUGACGUCAAGUCAUCAUGGCCCUUACGACCAGGGCUACACACGUGCUACAAUGGCGCAUACAAAGAGAAGCGACCUCGCGAGAGCAAGCGGACCUCAUAAAGUGCGUCGUAGUCCGGAUUGGAGUCUGCAACUCGACUCCAUGAAGUCGGAAUCGCUAGUAAUCGUGGAUCAGAAUGCCACGGUGAAUACGUUCCCGGGCCUUGUACACACCGCCCGUCACACCAUGGGAGUGGGUUGCAAAAGAAGUAGGUAGCUUAACCUUCGGGAGGGCGCUUACCACUUUGUGAUUCAUGACUGGGGUGAAGUCGUAACAAGGUAACCGUAGGGGAACCUGCGGUUGGAUCACCUCCUUA